rnacentral:rRNA from 14 species
GAAGUCGGAAUCGCUAGUAAUCGUGGAUCAGCAUGCCACGGUGAAUACGUUCCCGGGCCUUGUACACACCGCCCGUCACAUCAUGGGAAUUGGUUCUACCCGAAGACGCUGUGCUAACUUCGGAGGCAGGCGGCCACGGUAGGAUCAGCGACUGGGGUGAAGUCGUAACAAGGUAGCCGUAGGGGAACCUGCGGCUGGAUCACCUCCUU